rnacentral:rRNA from 1 species
CUCAGGAUUAACGCUGGCGGCGUGCCUAAUACAUGCAAGUCGAAUGGUAGUAGCAAUACAAACCAUGGCGAACGGGUGAGUAACACGUAGGCAACCUGACUUUAAGACGAGGAUAACCGUUGGAAACGACGGAUAAUACUGGAUAGGACAUCACAAAGGGCAUCCUUAGAUGUUUAAAGGUUAUCAUGCCACUUAGAGAGGGGCCUGCGGCGCAUUAGCUAGUUGGUGAGAUAACAGCCCACCAAGGCGAUGAUGCGUAGCCGGACUGAGAGGUUGAACGGCCACAAUGGAACUGAGAACGGUCCAUACUCCUACGGGAGGCAGCAGUAGGGAAUUUUCGGCAAUGGGCGCAAGCCUGAACCCGAGCAACGCCGCGUGAACGAAGAAGCUAUUCGUAAUGUAAAGUUCUUUUAUCUGGGAAGAAAAAACAAAUUGACGGUACCAGAUGAAUAAGCUCCGGCUAACUACGUGCCAGCCGCCGC